UCCACCAUUAUUUUAAUUUAGCUUUGUUCCUAAAAUUACUAUAAAUAGUAUGCUGAUUUUACUAUUCAUCUCCAUCCAAAAAUCAGAAAACUUUCAACACUACCACCCAACCUCCUUAUUUUCCGGCCACUCUCCGACCACCACCACCUGUCGGCCUCCCUCACUGCGCGCCAGACUCGCACCACCAGCCAGCCACCCCGCCAGCACCGCCACCUCCUUCUCCCUCCCCCACGCUGCACCCCUCCUCUUCCUCUUCCUCUCCUUCUCGCUGCACUCUUCCCCUCCCCCAUCUCGCUGCAGCCUCCUUGCUGCCGCGCCGCACCUGCCGCCAGCCGCGCCGCACCGCCGUCCUGCCGUCCGUCCCGCUGCUGCACCGCCACCUGCUUGCCGGAGCUCCGACACCCACUGCACUGCCCGUCUUCUCCUUGUUACUUCACUUAGUGAAGAUUAGAAAGGAAAAGGGAUAUUACAAGCCUCACCCGGCUAUCAAGUAUAAUAAUCGCGACUCGAGGUACCGAUGGGGAUGACGCCAUGGCUUAGCAGUGAGGAAAUGUUAUUAGAAUAACUCAAACAAUUAAAGCUUUUGUAACUUAAGUACUUACUUCGUUUAAUUAACAUCAACUCUGUUUUACUUUAAUAUAACCUAGUACGUUUAAGUUCCAUGUUAUUA